rnacentral:rRNA from 1 species
GUCGAGCGAGGUUACUGUUUUGGAUCCCUUCGGGGUGAAGAAGCUUUAACCUAGCGGCGGACGGGUGAGUAACGCGUGGGUAACCUACCCCAAAGUCCGGGAUAACAGCGGGAAACCGCUGCUAAUACCGGAUGCCUUUACCUUGGGGCAUCUUGAGGUAAAGAAAGGCAACGCUUUGGGAUGGGCCCGCGUCCCAUUAGCUAGUUGGUGAGGUAACGGCUCACCAAGGUGACGAUGGGUAGCCGGCCUGAGAGGGUGGACGGCCACACUGGGACUGAGACACGGCCCAGACUCCUACGGGAGGCAGCAGUAGGGAAUAUUGCGCAAUGGACGGAAGUCUGACGCAGCGACGCCGCGUGAGCGAUGAAGGUCUUCGGAUCGUAAAGCUCUGUCCUUGGGGAAGAAGGUCUUCGGACUUGGCGGUACCCAAGAAGAAAGCCCCGGCUAACUACGUGCCAGCAGCCGCGGUAAUACGUAGGGGGCGAGCGUUGUCCGGAAUUACUGGGCGUAAAGGGUGCGUAGGCGGCCCUUUAAGUCGGAUGUGAAAGCCCGCGGCUUAACCGCGGAAUGGCAUUCGAAACUGGAGGGCUUGAGUGUCGGAGAGGGUAGUGGAAUUCCCAGUGUAGCGGUGA